rnacentral:lncRNA from 1 species
CUUAAAGCAGUGUUUCAGUCAUGUCCUGAACCAUUCAGCCUGCCGUGGUUUCAGUCAUCCUGCUGUGUUCAGACAGGGCUGGCAUGGGGCAGAGGUGGGCUUUUACACAACAGCUGUGAAAUUCCCGGGCAAAGUAAACUGACAAAAACCCUUUCUUCUGUUAGAGCAGCUAGAAAAUAAAAGCUCAAUCCAAUGUUCACUUUCAGUAUUAUUCCUGUUCCCCCUCCUCCAAGUGGAAGUGUUGCUAUCUGGGAGUGGUGUCUGGUAUGCGGGUGCUCAGGAUGACCGUCAGAUCUGUACGUGAAUCCUACCCCUGACUCAUGCUCUGUGACUCACCUGAGUCUAUGGAUAAGAAUUAAAGGAUCAUUUAUGCUAGUUCUUCCCGAGAGCCAUGUGGUGGAUAGUCCUGGACACCUGGCAUCUCUUAUGCCUCAGUUCUUCAACCACAUCCAGAGGAGUCCAAAUGAAUGAAAGUAUCUGAGAGCAGCUGCUCAGAAGAGGAAGGGCAUCAUGCUGAUCCCGACUGUGUCAAUUUGGGCAUCCUUUUCUGCCACUUCAACUUUCAAAAUCAAAUUGUUAUAAUCAAGAUGCAGAACAAGGAUCCAACGAGGGGCCAGCCAAGCUUAAUCUGCAG